AGUGAACGCUGGCGGUAGGCCUAACACAUGCAAGUCGAACGGCAGCACAGUAAGAGCUUGCUCUUACGGGUGGCGAGUGGCGGACGGGUGAGGAAUACAUCGGAAUCUACUUUUUCGUGGGGGAUAACGUAGGGAAACUUACGCUAAUACCGCAUACGACCUACGGGUGAAAGCAGGGGCUCUUCGUACCUUGCGCGAUUGAAUGAGCCGAUGUCGGAUUAGCUAGUUGGCGGGGUAAAGGCCCACCAAGGCGACGAUCCGUAGCUGGUCUGAGAGGAUGAUCAGCCACACUGGAACUGAGACACGGUCCAGACGCCUACGGGAGGCAGCAGUGGGGAAUAUUGGACAAUGGGCGCAAGCCUGAUCCAGCCAUACCGCGUGGGUGAAGAAGGCCUUCGGGUUGUAAAGCCCUUUUGUUGGGAAAGAAAAGCAGCAGGUUAAUACCCCGCUGUUCUGACGGUACCCAAAGAAUAAGCACCGGCUAACUUCGUG
rnacentral:rRNA from 1 species